rnacentral:misc_RNA from 1 species
CCUUUCAAAUUUUUUGAAACAGGUUUGUUAUUAUGACAAACCCUC